AAAUAAGACAUGUGGGCCAGGAGAUGACUGCCAUCUCUUCCAACCUUGAGUGAGACCCCCCAACAUGUCACCAUGACCCAUUGUGUGUGUGCUGCAGGGUCAGGGGAGGUACCAGUUUCCUCGAUGUAACCAAAGGCCCUCAGGGCCUGGUGGACAGUCCUACACAGUGGGAGGAGUUGGUCAUCUGGCCUCAGCUGACCCUGGCUUGUGGUUUUCAAGAACUUAGGAAAAGAAAACCCAGCUUGGGGAGCUGGGCAGAGAGCAGGAGUCCCAGCCUGGUGGGGCUGCAUUAGAGUCAGGUCCCUGCAAUCCCACCAGGGAUUCCACGGGUGCUCUCCUGCUGUCCUCUAAUGCCCAGGAGCUCAUGGCGGGGUCUGCUUUACUUCUAAGGAGACUGAGGCAGAACUGCAAGCAUCUGCCCUAUUUGAUGCACAGAGAGAGUGCAACUUACUGGACUUAUUGCAGGAGUCGCAUCCAACAAGAGAGCGGGGCCUGGAGGAGAGCUUAACACAGAACAAGUGUUCAGUGAAUAUGAACUUUUUUGCCUGAAUGAACGGAAAUCUUCAGAGUUGUCUUAUAGGAGGAUACUACGAUCAUCCCCGUCUUGCAGAAAAGGCAACUAAGGCUGAGAAGAGGCCAGGAGCCUUGACGAAAGGCACACAGGAAGAGCAGAGCUGGGACUCUAACCCUGAACGUUUGAGUAAAAUCUGUGAUGUUCUUCUGCUCCACAACCACCUCGUCUCACUCAUCUGACUUCCCUUGUGCUGAAUAUCCUGUUGGAAACAGAGGCCUCUUCAACGAUGAAAACUUGCUGCCCUUCUUAUGUUUGAAGAAACGUCUCCUGAAUAUUUGUAUUCAUGAUCCUACAAUCUUAUUUUCUGUAAUUUUUACAGCAACCAGUCAGGUCAUUGUCAUUAUACACCAUUUUAUAAUGAAGAAAUCAAAGCUCAGAGAGGUUGAGCACUUGCCUAAAGACACACAGCAAAAACACAGCAGAGCUGGCAUUCAAGUCUGGAUCUGGCUGUAAAGCCCAUGCAGGUCUGGCUUUGCAGACACGUGGCUUUCCAGGGUGUCUGAGGGACCGCUCUGGACUCACAUGGCUAGGAAGUGGUAAAGCAGAAACUGGGCCAGGACUUAGGAUGCCACAUCCAGUUUUCCUCCCCGCCAAUGCAGCAUGGCAGCCUGGAAGCCUGGUGGGCAGAAGGAAGGGAUGAGGGCUAGGACUGAACACAGGGUGUGAUUGCCUUGAGAGCCAGGGAUUGGCAAGCUGGGAGGUAUCCUCUAAGACUGUGUGUGUGUGUGUGCAUGUGUGUUUGUGUGUAAAAUACUAAGGCCUGAGCAUUGAUGUCCUCUUACUCCACCUCCACCCCACCCCGCUGUGGAUCAGAGUAAUUGUGAAGGGAGGGUGAGGGGCAGAGAAGCUGGAAAAAUUGCCUCAUUUAAUAUGGGAAAGGCUGCAGAGCUCAUGGGAAGCAGGAAAAAGUACAGCAAGGGGAAGGUGCAGGCUGGGGUUGUGGGAGUGAAGAAGAGACUUGGGAGGGCACCUGCCAUCCUCGGUGCCUGGGGGGGAGGGAGGACAGUCUCUAAGGUGUUUCUCCGUGUUAUCUGUGAAUAUGUAAAUUAUAAUAUGUAACGAAUAGAUAAAUAUAAUAGUCCUUUUCUUGUGAAUCUGCAGUGAACAUUUGAAUGAAAUUUCAAGCGACUUCUGGAUGUUGUUUUUUGGUUUGUGGCUCAUGUCUGGAGGGGCUAUGCACUGGCUUGACUUUCAAG
rnacentral:lncRNA from 10 species